rnacentral:rRNA from 1 species
AACGAACGCUGGCGGCAUGCCUAACACAUGCAAGUCGAACGAGACCUUCGGGUCUAGUGGCGCACGGGUGCGUAACGCGUGGGAAUCUGCCCUUGGGUUCGGAAUAACAGUUAGAAAUGACUGCUAAUACCGGAUAAUGUCUUCGGACCAAAGAUUUAUCGCCCAGGGAUGAGCCCGCGUAGGAUUAGCUAGUUGGUGAGGUAAAGGCUCACCAAGGCGACGAUCCUUAGCUGGUCUGAGAGGAUGAUCAGCCACACUGGGACUGAGACACGGCCCAGACUCCUACGGGAGGCAGCAGUGGGGGAUAUUGGACAAUGGGCGAAAGCCUGAUCCAGCAAUGCCGCGUGAGUGAUGAAGGCCUUAGGGUUGUAAAGCUCUUUUACCCGGGAUGAUAAUGACAGUACCGGGAGAAUAAGCCCCCGGCUAACUCCGUGCCAGCAGCCGCGGUAAU